UUGAUUAAAAUUAAGUUGUUUUAUAGGUGGAUUAGCUCCUUUGAGUUGAGCUUGUUGCUUUGCUUGAUGCAUUGUUUGUGUACAGUUAACUGUCUGUUGUCUGUUGACUUUCUUUUUUGAGUUGUAUACUGAUUGUGUUGGAUUGUUUUCAGGUACCUUAGUUGCUAUAGUUCAUUGUGAACUUGCUUUUGCUUUGCUUGAUAGCUUGAGCAUUGAGGUAUAAUG
rnacentral:lncRNA from 1 species